rnacentral:misc_RNA from 1 species
AAAGUCGUAACAAGGUCUCCGUUGGUGAACCAGCGGAGGGAUCAUUACCGAGUUCUACGCUCAAAACCCCCUGUGAACAUACCUAUUACAGUUGCUUCGGCGGGCUGCCGGGCUCGCCCUCGUGCGCUUCUGCGCCCCGGGCGACCUGGCCGCCUCAGACCGGCCCGCCGGAGGUCUCAAACUCAACGUCUACGCUUUUGCAUUGGAAUCUGAGUGUAAAAAAAAUAAGUUAAAACUUUCAACAAUGGAUCUCUUGGUUCUG